rnacentral:rRNA from 1 species
CAGCCGCCGCGGGAAAACGUAGGGCGCAAGCGUUGUCCGGAAUUAUUGGGCGUAAAGAGCUCGUAGGCGGUCUGUCGCGUCUGGUGUGAAAUCCCGAGGCUCAACCUCGGGCUUGCAUCGGGUACGGGCAGACUAGAGUGCGGUAGGGGAGACUGGAAUUCCUGGUGUAGCGGUGGAAUGCGCAGAUAUCAGGAGGAACACCGAUGGCGAAGGCAGGUCUCUGGGCCGCAACUGACGCUGAGGAGCGAAAGCAUGGGGAGCGAACAGGAUUAGAUACCCCCGUAGUCCCUGUCUCUUAUAC